UACGAAGGGGGCUAGCGUUGCUCGGAAUCACUGGGCGUAAAGCGCACGUAGGCGGCUUGUUAAGUCAGGGGUGAAAUCCUGGAGCUCAACUCCAGAACUGCCUUUGAUACUGGCGAGCUUGAGUUCGGGAGAGGUGAGUGGAACUGCGAGUGUAGAGGUGAAAUUCGUAGAUAUUCGGAAGAACACCAGUGGCGAAGGCGACACACUGGCCCAAUACUGACGCUGAGGCGCGAAAGCGUGGGGAGCAAACAGG
rnacentral:rRNA from 1 species